CAGCAGCCGCCACGGUAAUACAGAGGGUGCGAGCGUUAAUCGGAUUUACUGGGCGUAAAGCGUGCGUAGGCGGCUUCUUAAGUCGGAUGUGAAAUCCCUGAGCUUAACUUAGGAAUUGCAUUCGAUACUGGGAAGCUAGAGUAUGGGAGAGGAUGGUAGAAUUCCAGGUGUAGCGGUGAAAUGCGUAGAGAUCUGGAGGAAUACCGAUGGCGAAGGCAGCCAUCUGGCCUAAUACUGACGCUGAGGUACGAAAGCAUGGGGAGCAAACAGGAUUAGAUACCCCUGUAGUCCCUGUCUCUUA
rnacentral:rRNA from 1 species